rnacentral:rRNA from 1 species
AACGAACGCUGGCGGCAUGCCUAACACAUGCAAGUCGAACGAGACCUUCGGGUGUAGUGGCGCACGGGUGCGUAACGCGAGGGAACCUGCCCUUAGGUUCGGAAUAACUCCCCGAAAGGGGUGCUAACACCGGAUAAUGUCUUCGGACCAAAGAUUUAUCGACAUUGGAUGGGCCCGCGUUGGAUUAGCUAGUUGGUAGGGUAAAAGCCUAACAAGGCGACGAUCCAUAGCUGGGAUGAGAGGAUGAUCAGCCACACUGGGACUGAGACACGGCCCAGACUCCUACGGGAGGCAGCAAUGGGGAAUAGUGGACAAUGGGCGGAAUCCUGAUCCAGCAAUGCCGCGUGAGUGAUGAAGGCCUUAGGGUUGUAAAGCUCUUUUACCCGGGAUGAUAAUGACAGUACCGGAAGAAUAAGCUCCGGCUAACUCCGUG